rnacentral:rRNA from 1 species
GAUGAACGCUAGCGGCAGGCCUAACACAUGCAAGUCGAGGGGUAACUAGAGUGAUAGCAAUAUUACUUUGGCUAGACCGGCGCACGGGUGCGUAACACGUAUGCAACCUACCUUAUACUGGGGAAUAACUUCGAGAAAUCGGCGCUAAUACCCCAUAACAUUGCGAAGAGGCAUCUCUUUGCAAUUAAAGCUCCGGCGGUAUAAGAUGGGCAUGCGUCCAAUUAGCUAGUUGGUGAGGUAACGGCUCACCAAGGCUACGAUUGGUAGGGGUUCUGAGAGGAUGUUCCCCCACAGUGGUACAGAAACACGAACCAGACUCCAACGGGAGGCAGCAGUGAGGAAGAUUGCGCAAUGGACGAAAGUCUGACGCAACCAUGCCGCGUGCAGGAUGACGGCCCUAUGGGUUGUAAACUGCUUUUGUACGGGAAUAAACCCUUCUACGUGUAGGAGGCUGAAGGUACCGUAAGAAUAAGCACCGGCUAACUCCGUGCCAGCCGCCGCGGUAAGAC